GCUCGGUCUUCUCUGUCUAUUGUUGUUAAAGUCAAGCUGAACGAUGCCUUAUUUGUAGAGCUUGAUGUUUGCAACACAAUAUGACCAGAAAUUAUCAGCAAAUGUUUACUCUUGCAACUAUCUUGACUCGUGGAAUUUUCUGCUUGUUAUUUCUGUGUUCUUUUAUAAAAAAUCAUGUGACAGUUAUCACUGAUCAGAAUGAUUGGCUUACUUUUGGUCCAUAAUUGGCACUAACCUCUACACAAGCAUGCCAUAAAUAUUGGAUAUGGG
rnacentral:misc_RNA from 1 species